GCACCGGAUGGGAGUUCUAUCGCAGUGACCCAUUGCCGUUUCUCGAAGAAAAGCGAUUGCAGACUAACGGACGGUGC
rnacentral:sRNA from 12 species